CAGGUCCGUGACGGGAGAUGCAAUACAUAUACAUACCGUUUUGAAAAUUAAGGAGCAACAUUUACGCCUCUAAUAAUUCAGGAGUCACAUUGAUAAUUAGCAUAUUAUGAAGGGACAUAAAUUACAAUUUUCCAUUUAUUUAUUUUGUUUAUUAUGAUCGUCUUGAACAACAUCCCCGUUUUGAACUCCUGACAUAUUUUAAGGGAUAGGAGUGCAUGGCCGCCGCGAUCACAUUGGAAGAAGAAUGCUCGUGGGAGGUAAUUGGCAUUUCAACGAUCCACCGGAGCAUGAUUCACCACAUGGGCCAGAUUGCUGUUGAGCUUCGACACUGCAACAAAAGUGAAGUAAAGAUGGAAGUGAAACAAAGAAAUAUAUAUAUAUACUCUCUAAGUAUUCCAAUAAGCUAGCUGUCUUUAAAGAUGAAUUCGGAUGUAGUGUGCUCACCUGUUCUUCUUUAUUAUUCAUAGAUUUAUUAUAUUACAGUUAAUUAGUUAUAGAUCGUUUCAACGAUGAUCAAGAAAAUUCUGAACUGUGAAGUUUGAAGAA